GAUGAACGCUAGCGGAGGCUUAACACAUGCAAGGUCGAGGGGUAAAUGGUAGCAAUACUAUGAGACCGGCGGACGGGUGCGUAACGCGUAUGCAACAUACCUUGUGCAGGGGGAUAGCCCGUGGAAACGCGGAUUAAUAUUCCAUAGUCCAGCUAUAUCGCAUGGUAUAGUUGGUAAAGAUUUAUCGGCACAAGUUUGGCAUGCGUCUGAUUAGCUUGUUGGUAGGGUAACGGCCUACCAAGGCUACGAUCAGUAGGGGUUCUGAGAGGAUUAACCCCCACACUGGUACUGAGACACGGACCAGACUCCUACGGGAGGCAGCAGUGAGGAAUAUUGGUCAAUGGGCGGAAGCCUGAACCAGCCAUCCCGCGUGAAGGAAGACAGCCUUACGGGUUGUAAACUUCUUUUCUGUCAGAAGAAUAAGCUUGUCGAGACGAGUGAUGCCGGUAUGACAGGAAUAAGCAUCGGCUAACUCCGUG
rnacentral:rRNA from 1 species